UCUCCGUUGGUGAACCAGCGGAGGGAUCAUUACCGAGUUUACAACUCCCAACCCAUGUGAACAUACCUAUCGUUGCUUCGGCGGUUGCGCCCCGGCAUAGCCCGGAGCAAGGCGCCCGCCGGAGACCCUUAAAAACCUGUAUUUUUGCUAAUAUUGAGAAAUUCUGAGUACAAACACAAAUCAUUAAAACUUUUAACAACGGAUCUCUUGGCUCUG
rnacentral:misc_RNA from 1 species